CCCACUAUAGUCCAGUGGUUAAACUGACCGUGACCGAUCACUUUCGGGAGCGGGAGGUUGGAGGUUCGAUUCCUCCUAGUGGCA